rnacentral:rRNA from 1 species
GACGAACGCUGGCGGCGUGCUUAACACAUGCAAGUCGAACGGAAAGGCCCUGCUUUUGUGGGGUGCUCGAGUGGCGAACGGGUGAGUAACACGUGAGUAACCUGCCCUAGACUUUGGGAUAACUUCAGGAAACUGGGGCUAAUACCGGAUAGGAGAUCCUGCUGCAGGGUGGGGGUUGGAAAGUUUCGGCGGGUGGGGAUGGACUAGCGGCUUAUCGGCUUGUUGGUGGGGUAGUGGCUUACCAAGGCUUUGGCUGAUAGCCGGCCUGAGAGGGUGACCGGCCACAUUGGGACUGCGAUACGGCCCAGUCUCCUACGUGAGGCAGCAGUGGGGAAUAUUGCCCAAUGGUCGGAAGCCUGAUGCAGCAGCGCCGCGUGCGGGAUGACGGCCUUCGGGUUGUGAACCGCUUUCGCCUGUGACGAAGCGUGAGUGACGGUAAUGGGUAAAUAAGCACCGGCUAACUACGUG